rnacentral:rRNA from 1 species
AUUGAACGCUGGCGGCAUGCUUUACACAUGCAAGUCGAACGGCAGCGCGGGCUUCGGCCUGGCGGCGAGUGGCGAACGGGUGAGUAAUACAUCUGAACGUGCCCAGUAGUGGGGGAUAGCUCGGCGAAAGCCGGAUUAAUACCGCAUACGACCUGAGGGUGAAAGCGGGGGAUCUUCGGACCUCGCGCUAUUGGAGCGGCCGAUGGCCGAUUAGCUAGUUGGUGGGGUAAAGGCCUACCAAGGCGACGAUCUGUAGCUGGUCUGAGAGGACGACCAGCCACACUGGCACUGAGACACGCCCGAGACGCCGACGGGAGUGAGCAUUGGGGAAUUUUGGACAAUGGGCGAAAGCAUGAUCCAGCAAUGCCGCGUGUGUGAUGAAGGCCUUCGGGUUGUAAAGCACUUUUGGCGGGAACGAAAAGGACUGUGCCAAUACCACGGUUCGAUGACGGUACCCGCAGAAUAAGCACCGGCUAACUACGUG